AGAGUUUGAUCCUGGCUCAGAUUGAACGCUGGCGGCAUGCCUUACACAUGCAAGUCGAACGGCAGCACGGGUGCUUGCACCUGGUGGCGAGUGGCGAACGGGUGAGUAAUAUAUCGGAACGUACCCUAGAGUGGGGGAUAACGUAGCGAAAGUUACGCUAAUACCGCAUACGAUCUACGGAUGAAAGUGGGGGAUCGCAAGACCUCAUGCUCAUGGAGCGGCCGAUAUCUGAUUAGCUAGUUGGUGGGGUAAAAGCCUACCAAGGCGACGAUCAGUAGCUGGUCUGAGAGGACGACCAGCCACACUGGAACUGAGACACGGUCCAGACUCCUACGGGAGGCAGCAGUGGGGAAUUUUGGACAAUGGGGGCAACCCUGAUCCAGCAAUGCCGCGUGAGUGAAGAAGGCCUUCGGGUUGUAAAGCUCUUUUGUCAGGGAAGAAACGGGAUUUUCUAAUACAAAGUCCUAAUGACGGUACCUGAAGAAUAAGCACCGGCUAACUACGUGCCAGCAGCCGCGGUAAUACGUAGGGUGCAAGCGUUAAUCGGAAUUACUGGGCGUAAAGCGUGCGCAGGCGGUUGUGCAAGACAGAUGUGAAAUCCCCGGGCUCAACCUGGGAUUUGCAUUUGUGACUGCACGGCUAGAGUGUGUCAGAGGGGGGUAGAAUUCCACGUGUAGCAGUGAAGUGCGUAGAGAUGUGGAGGAAUACCGAUGGCGAAGGCAGCCCCCUGGGAUAACACUGACGCUCAUGCACGAAAGCGUGGGGAGCAAACAGGAUUAGAUACCCUGGUAGUCCACGCCCUAAACGAUGUCUACUAGUUGUCGGGUCUUAAUUGACUUGGUAACGCAGCUAACGCGUGAAGUAGACCGCCUGGGGAGUACGGUCGCAAGAUUAAAACUCAAAGGAAUUGACGGGGACCCGCACAAGCGGUGGAUGAUGUGGAUUAAUUCGAUGCAACGCGAAAAACCUUACCUACCCUUGACAUGUACGGAACUUACCAGAGAUGGUUUGGUGCUCGAAAGAGAACCGUAACACAGGUGCUGCAUGGCUGUCGUCAGCUCGUGUCGUGAGAUGUUGGGUUAAGUCCCGCAACGAGCGCAACCCUUGUCAUUAGUUGCUACGAAAGGGCACUCUAAUGAGACUGCCGGUGACAAACCGGAGGAAGGUGGGGAUGACGUCAAGUCCUCAUGGCCCUUAUGGGUAGGGCUUCACACGUCAUACAAUGGUACAUACAGAGGGCCGCCAACCCGCGAGGGGGAGCUAAUCCCAGAAAGUGUAUCGUAGUCCGGAUUGUAGUCUGCAACUCGACUACAUGAAGUUGGAAUCGCUAGUAAUCGCGGAUCAGCAUGUCGCGGUGAAUACGUUCCCGGGUCUUGUACACACCGCCCGUCACACCAUGGGAGCGGGUUUCACCAGAAGUAGGUAGCCUAACCGCAAGGAGGGCGCUUACCACGGUGGGAUUCGUGACUGGGGUGAAGUCGUAACAAGGUA
rnacentral:rRNA from 1 species